rnacentral:rRNA from 1 species
UUCUUUGCUGACGAGUGGCGGACGGGUGAGUAAUGUCUGGGAAACUGCCUGAUGGAGGGGGAUAACUACUGGAAACGGUAGCUAAUACCGCAUAACGUCGCAAGACCAAAGAGGGGGACCUUCGGGCCUCUUGCCAUCGGAUGUGCCCAGAUGGGAUUAGCUAGUAGGUGGGGUAACGGCUCACCUAGGCGACGAUCCCUAGCUGGUCUGAGAGGAUGACCAGCCACACUGGAACUGAGACACGGUCCAGACUCCUACGGGAGGCAGCAGUGGGGAAUAUUGCACAAUGGGCGCAAGCCUGAUGCAGCCAUGCCGCGUGUAUGAAGAAGGCCUUCGGGUUGUAAAGUACUUUCAGCGGGGAGGAAGGGAGUAAAGUUAAUACCUUUGCUCAUUGACGUUACCCGCAGAAGAAGCACCGGCUAACUCCGUGCCAGCAGCCGCGGUAAUACGGAGGGUGCAAGCGUUAAUCGG